ACAUCACUGAAAGAGAGCAGCCCACGUCAGCCACAACGGGGCGGGACACGUGGCCUGUGUGUGGCAGCCUCACCGGCCAGUGGCAAGACAGCCGGCCACCCAGGCCCCUGCUCCUCACCCGCCGUCCCCCGCUCCAGCUGCUGACUGAGGAGUACAGGGCGUGUCAAGAACGGAGGGAGCACAGACCCCCACCCCCUCCAAUGCCUGCCAUUUACAAGCAAGACCCUCUGGGAUCUCCAGACAGUGCCUCUGGGACAGAAGUUCAGUCAGAGGGCCUGCCACAGAGCAGCGUCUCCAAGGGUCGAGAUUUGGGUGUGGGUUUGGUCGGGAGACCCAAGUUUCAAAUGUGCCUUGCAUCAUUCCCCUUUUAUGACCUCGGAGUUCCAGGAAGUUCCAGACCAGGGGGAGAAACUGGGUCGACACUGGCACUGUCCACUGCAAGUGCCCCAGGCCAUAUCCUGCACGCUCUGCCUGACACUGAAGCAAGGGAUAUGCUGGAGGCCAGCGUCCCACGAGUUGUCCUCAGGAGGGAAUGAGAAGCACGUCCCAUGGUCAACAGUGACAAACAUACCAGCAAUUCUGGAUGUGAUAUAAGAUAUGUCCAAGUCUCCCUUUGCGUAACUGGAAUUAGAAAGAAGAGCGCUUGGUUAAUCCCAGAAAUUUCUACAGUUAAGUCACAAGAGCUUAAACUGGAGCAGGUCCUGGAGAGGUUGGGGGGAUCUCGCCGCUCAGGCCGCAGCUCACGGGAAACGUUGUGUGCGCAUGUGUGUAUGUAUACGUGUGAGCGUGUUCCAGCCAUGUGCAUGCAGCUGACGUCUAAGAGACGGAGAGGCAGAGAGCCGGUAGAAACCUACUGCGCUUCUAUUCUGAAGAGGCGUGACUGCAGGGGCUGGCUUUGAAAGGAGACAGUAACAAAAACGGAAGAGAGUUUUUUUGGCCCAGCACAUCAUGUCUGGCUCACAAGAAAAAGUUACAAGGCCCACCAAAUGGCAAAAACACAGUUUCAAGAGACAGAGAAAACAUCAGAACCAGACAUGGCAGGGACGCUGGAACUGUCAGACCAGGAACUUAACCAACUGUGACUAAUAUGCUAAGGGCUCUAACUGAUAAAGUAGACAGCACGUAAGAACAGAGAUAAAAAUUCUAAGAAAGAACAAAAAGAAAUGCCGGAGACACAAAACUCGGUGGCAGAAAUAACACAGGCCUUUGAUGGGCUGAUUAGGCUGAACAUGGCCGAGGAAAAAGUCUCUGAGCUAGAGGAUCUAUCAAUAGAAUCCUUAAAAAAUGAAAAGCAAAGAGAACAAAGACUGAAAAAACCCAGAACAAAAUCACCGGCAACGCGGAACCACAAAAGGUGUAUCGUACGUUUAACAGGAACACCAGAAGGAGAAAAGAAAGCAGGUACAGAAGAAAGGUCUGAAACAACAAGGACUGAGCAUUCCCCUCAAAUCAUGUCAGACGCGAAACCACGAUCCAGGAAGCUCAGAGGACACCAGGCAGGAUAAAUACCGAGUCGCCUACACUCAGGCAUCUCAUCUUCAAACUGCAGAAAACCAAAGGAAACAAACGUGCAAAGGGGACAGAGGGACAAAGCACGUUACCUGCACAGAAACAAAGACAGGAAGUGCACCUGUCCGCUCUCCAGAAGCCACGUGAGCAAGGACACAGUGACAUAUUUAGUAUUGAGAGAGACACCCACCAGCCCAGAACUCCAUCCCCUGGGAGUCACCCUCCAGAGGUGACCCAAACACUGGGAGAAAGUGCUGCCAGGAGACCUGCCUGGAAGGAAAUGCUCUUCAGAGAGAAGGAGAAUGAUUCGGUCGGAAACGGGGUCUACACAAAAGAACAAAAGAACUCCAAAGAAGUGACAGUGAAACGAACACUUUCAUGUUUGUUGCUCUUGAUGGAGUCAGGAGAAAACUGCUUGUUCGAACUCGCCACGGCAACGACAUGCCCACCUGUGCACUUGCCGCACCGACGACUCGCAUACUCGCGUGCGUCUGUGCGGGUAAAGCGAAUGCUAGCACGAGCACAGCGAUGGGGCGCAGUGCCAUCGUGGGGUGACAGAGGGUUGGGGCUGCCUGUGUAGACGUGGGUCAGCUGUAAACAUGUACUGCAAACUCCAGAGCAACUAGUAAAAAAGCUGUUACUUUUUUUAAAAAUAAGGAUAACUGAUAUGAUAAGAAAGGAGAGAGAAAGGGACCCUAUGAAAUGCCCAGUUAAAGCCACAGAAGGCCGGGCAACGAGCAGGAAAUGGAGCAGACAUGGUAGGCGCCCACCCAGGACACCAAGAAUCCAUGUGACUAUCAGUCAGAAGACACAGACGGUCACAGUGGACCAGACAAGGCUCAUAGUCCGGAGGCUGGUGUGUGCUCAGCGAAGGGUGCCCAAGAGCAGCCGCAACCCACACCCUGGGUGACAACGCUUCACCUGUGCUACAGCGGCUCCGGUGGGGAAUCAAGCACCUCCCACGUGACGCCACGGCCGAGGACUCGGGAAGCCCCGCCUGUUCCCUCACACUUUAUGCCGGGAGCCUUUUCCCAGCGCUGAUCCGCUGACCCGCGUCCUAUCUCUGAGGAAAAUCCCAGCUAAACCUUUGAUCCCGAGGACACCGGGCGAUACCCUGUUUCAUCCUCGUCCGCGCUCCGAUCUCACCAUCGCACCGGGAUGACCCCGAGCAGCCUCCCAGACUGGUGCGCCCGCGCCCCGAGGCACAUCCGCUAACAUCCCCAGGCCGCCAUCCCGAGGCACAGACCGCAUUCUGCUUGUGCCGCCCGUCGGAGGUGCGCUCUUAGGGUUAUUACUUUUUGUUAAUAUUCCACUUGAGGGUGUAAGAUAGCUGCACAAACCCAGAGUCAGUCGCAACAGCAGCUAAAUCCAGAAGCGAACCACCACCACCUCUAAACUGACACGCAACGGGGGCCCCUGGGGUGCAGCCGGUGGAGCGUGCGACUCUCGAUUUCAGCUCAAGUCGUGAUCGCACGGUUCGUGAGUUCAAGCCCCAUGUGGGCCGAUAGCAGGGAGCCUGCCUGGGCUUCUCUCCCUCUCUGCCCCUCCCCUGCUCACACGCUUACUCUCAAAAUUAAAAAAUGUUAAAAGAAAAA